GACGAACGCUGGCGGCGUGCUUAACACAUGCAAGUCGAACGGAAAGGCCCUGCGUUUGUGGGGUGCUCGAGUGGCGAACGGGUGAGUAACACGUGAGUAACCUGCCCUUGACUUUGGGAUAACUUCAGGAAACUGGGGCUAAUACCGGAUAGGAGCUCCUGCUGCAUGGUGGGGGUUGGAAAGUUUCGGCGGUUGGGGAUGGGCUCGGGGCUUAGCAGCUUGUUGGGGGGGUAGUGGCUUACCAAGGCUUUGACGGGUAGCCGGCCUGAGAGGGUGACCGGCCACCUUGGGACUGUGAUACGGCCCCGACUCCUACGGGAGGCAGCAGUGGGGAAUAUUGCACAAUGGGCGGAAGCCUGAUGCAGCAACGCCGCGUGCGGGAUGACGGCCUUCGGGUUGUAACCCGCUUUCGCCUGUGACGAAGCGUGAGUGACGGUAAUGGGUAAAGAAGCACCGGCUAACUACGUG
rnacentral:rRNA from 1 species